rnacentral:rRNA from 1 species
UACGUAGGGUGCGAGCGUUGUCCGGAAUUAUUGGGCGUAAAGAGCUCGUAGGCGGUCUGUCACGUCGGCUGUGAAAUCCCGAGGCUCAACCUCGGGUCUGCAGUCGAUACGGGCAAACUAGAGUAUUGCAGGGGAGACUGGAAUUCCUGGUGUAGCGGUGAAAUGCGCAGAUAUCAGGAGGAACACCGAUGGCGAAGGCAGGUCUCUGGGCCGAUACUGACGCUGAGGAGCGAAAGCGUGGGGAGCGAACAGG